UCAAUAACAGCACCAGGGCUUGACACCUGUCUUGUGCACGUGAAUGUCGAGUGGGGUUUGGUGAGUGCUUGUGUUGUUCGUUGUGGAUUGUCCUGUUCUGGUGCAUUGCAGUAGGCCUUCUGUUUUAUUCAUUUAUUUAUUUUUAUUUUUUUUAACCUUAAGAAGCUUGCUUGCACACUGAAGUGCAGCAGAGGCCAGAGUGGUUCCCCUCUCGCGCCUUCUCAGCUCUUCUCCAUUCCCGGACUCUCUCCCUAUCUCCACUUGCUUUUCAUCUCAUCCUAUAUUUAUAUCUUGAAGCUUUUUCCUUCCCUAGAUUUGAAGAGAUGGAGGCAAAUGGGGCAGUAGGAGGUAGAUGUUGUCAUGUCGCAACUGCUCUCUCUCUCUCUCUCUCUCACACUCUCUCUGUGUGGCAUUGAGCGGCAAGGCUAUGGUGUGGCUGAGCAGUGGUCCUGCAGUAGUUUGCAGAGGAGGAAAAUGCCAGUUAAUGUUUGGAUGGAGCUGAUGGGGUUACCGAAAGUGUGUGGAAGGGGGAAGUAUGGGUAGUGCUUUUCUUUAUCUUUUUAGAAAAUAUGUUUGGGAAGGAGCCAAUCUUUGUUCUAGCUUCUUUAGUUUCUGUGCACAUUUAUAUCCUUUGCUUUGUUUUUCACCAUCUAUUAUUUGAUUUUUCAAUUUCUGACAUAUGGCCAUGGUUACUCAUCUUUUUUGGCUCUUGACCCUUGGUCUCCUAUCUUAUGUUUUCAUUUUUUCACAUUGUACCUAUUCUGUAAAUUUUGCAAAAGUUAUUAUUUUUGUAUAAAUGUUAUUUGCUUUGAUUU